UACGAAGGGGGCUAGCGUUGCUCGGAAUGACUGGGCGUAAAGGGCGCGUAGGCGGAUGACACAGUCAGGCGUGAAAUUCCCGGGCUCAACCUGGGGGCUGCGCUUGAUACAUGUUGUCUUGAGUUCGGAAGAGGGUCGUGGAAUUCCCAGUGUAGAGGUGAAAUUCGUAGAUAUUGGGAAGAACACCGGUGGCGAAGGCGGCGACCUGGUCCGAUACUGACGCUGAGGCGCGAAAGCGUGGGGAGCAAACAGG
rnacentral:rRNA from 1 species